rnacentral:piRNA from 1 species
CCUGGAGGGCGAGCUGGAGAGAGCAGAGGA